CACUUCUAAGGAAGGCAGCAGGCGCGCAAAUUACCCAAUCCUGACUCAGGGAGGUAGUGACAAGAAAUAACAAUAAACCGGCUUAUGCCGGUUUAAUUGGAAUGAGUACAAUUUAAACAUCUUAACGAGGAACAAUUGGAGGGCAAGUCUGGUGCCAGCAGCCGCGGUAAUUCCAGCUCCAAUAGCGUAUACUAAAGUUGUUGCAGUUAAAAAGCUCGUAGUUGGAUUUCUGUGGGGACGGAGCGGCCGGCCGCAACUCGCGGUUCGAGCUAGCGCUUUCCCUACAUCCUGCCGCGAACCGUGCUACCAUUAGUUUGGUGGCGCUGGGGAUCGGCUCGAUUACUUUGAGAAAAAUAGAGUGUUCAAAGCAGGCCACAUGCCUUGAAUAAGUUAGCAUGGAAUAAUAACUAAGGACUUCGGUUCUAUUUUGUUGGUGUUCGGGACUGAAGUAAUGAUUGAUAGGGACAGUUGGGGCGGUCUGUAUUCCAAAGCGAGAGGUGAAAUUCUUAGACCUUCGGAAGACAAACAGCUGCGAAAGCGUUCCGCAAGGAUGUUCCCUUUGAUCAAGAACGAAAGUUGGGGGAUCGAAGACGAUCAGAUACCGUCGUAGUCUCAACUAUAAACUAUACCAGCUAGGGAUCGGCCAACGUUAUUUUAUACCGACUUGGUCGGCACCUUAUGAGAAAUCAAAGCAUCUGGGUUCCGGGGGGAGUAUGGUCGCAAGGCUGAAACUUAAAGGAAUUGACGGAAGGGCACCACCAGCCGUGGAGCCUGUGGCUUAAUUUGACUCAACACGGGAAAACUUACCAGGUCCAGACAUAGUAAGGAUUGACAGAUUGAUAGCUCUUUCUUGAUUCUGUGGGUGGUGGUGCAUGGCCGUUCUUAGUUGGUGGAGUGAUUUGUCUGGUUAAUUCCGUUAACGAACGAGACCCCAGCCUGCUAAAUAGCGCGCGUGAGCUUUGCUCGCGGCGAGCUUCUUAGAGGGACUAUGAUGCGCGAUAGCACAUGGAAGUUUGGGGCAAUAACAGGUCUGUGAUGCCCUUAGAUGUUCUGGGCCGCACACGGGCUACACUGGCGCCUGCAACGAGCAUAUCAGCUGGCCCGAGAGGGUCUUGGCUAAUCUUUUGAACCGGCGCCGCGCUUGGGAUUGACCUUUGCAAUUGUUGGUCAUGCAACGAGGAAUGCCUUGUAAACGCGAGUCAUCAGCUCGCAUUGAAUACGUCCCUGCCCUUUGUACACACCGCCCGUCGCUCCUACCGAUGAAUGUUCCGAUGAAAUUUUCGGAGAGCACCUGUGAACUUGGCUCUGCCUUGCGAACGGGAGGCUCAAAGUCACUUAAAUCUGAACAUUUCGAGG
rnacentral:rRNA from 1 species